UGAGGAGGAGGAGGAGGAUGCUGGCGGUGAUGCUGUUGCUAUGGUUACCCAACUCGGCGGCGCGGAGCUGCUCGGCGCAACAGCUGCCCCAGCACCCAGAUCUCCUCCUCGGCACCCACCGAAGGGCCCUGGGUGGACGGGCACAGGGAGGGGGGGGUCACCCCAAAGCCCUUCCAGAGGGAGGAUGGAGGGACCUGAAAACAAGAAAGGAAAGAAUCCAAGGUGGAUUGGCUGCCACAGGAUCGAAAUGUGGAGUCCUAACUGAGAGAGACAUGUGAAAUCAAGGCAUUCAGUUGCCAUUUAUCUAUCAAAUACGCAUGUCACGAGGCUCUGAUUUUGCACUGGAACAUCACAAGAUGCAGCAAGGUCACAACAAUCAAAUGUCACUUCCAUCCAAAAAUGUCAGUGCAAAGCUGCGUAACAUUCAUAUGCCAUGACAGUUCUUUCCAGAGCUGGUACUGUGUGCAGGACGUUGUGAUACCCUGUCUAAAACCUACUGAAAAAGAAAAAUCACUGGUGGAAACUUUCUAAAGGGAUUUGCUUCCCACUGUCAGGGCUUUACUUGCAGCCUGGAUGCCACAGAGGAUAUUAACCUUUGAGUCUGAGGCACCAAGAAGAUGCACUGGGUAGUAUUUCCUAUUAAAUUAUCCUGGAGAAGGAGUUCCAGGAGAUGUGCUGGCAGCACCUCUCCCCAAGGUAUUCUAGAAGACAGUGUCUCCAAACCAUGUUCAUUUGAAGAUUCAUAAUGUGGUUCAUAUAAAGGCAUUUUCUAUAUAUCUCCUUGCUAUAGGAGAACCUGGAACCACCCAUCUGAGGAGCAAAACACACCAGCCAGCAUUCAUUAAAUCAGACUUCCUUGGAAUAGCUUUCCAUUUCCCUGUCUUUAUAUAUCUUAUAAAAGUAAUUGCUAUAUGCACCAUUGCUGCUAUAGGGUUUUUAAUUAAUAAUUUUAAUAUUAAUUUAGGCAGCAAUUCUGAUUCCCACUCAGAGACUAUAUGCAAUAGUUGUCUCAGAGGGCUUUUCUACCACUCAGAAAAUGAAAGAAAAAAAUGUUAUCUGUUUUAACCGUUAAAAAUGGUAUACAUGUAAAAUUAUACGGUAUUCUGAACCUGAAAAAU
rnacentral:lncRNA from 1 species